rnacentral:rRNA from 1 species
GACGAACGCUGGCGGCGUGCUUAACACAUGCAAGUCGAACGGAAAGGCCCUGCUUUUGUGGGGUGCUCGAGUGGCGAACGGGUGAGUAACACGUGAGUAACCUGCCCUUGACUUUGGGAUAACUUCAGGAAACUGGGGCUAAUACCGGAUAGGAGCUCCUGCUGCAUGGUGGGGGUUGGAAAGUUUCGGCGGUUGGGGAUGGACUCGCGGCUUAUCAGCUUGUUGGUGGGGUAGUGGCUUACCAAGGCUUAGACGGGUAGCCGGCCUGAGAGGGUGACCGGCCACAUUGGGACUGAGAUACGACCCAGACUCCUACGGGAGGCAGCAGUGGGGAAUAUUGCACAAUGGGCGGAAGCCUGAUGCAGCAACGCCGCGUGCGGGAUGACGGCCUUCGGGUUGUAAACCGCUUUCGCCUGUGACGAAGCGUGAGUGACGGUAAUGGGUAAAGAAGCACCGGCUAACUACGUG